UACAGAGGUCUCAAGCGUUGUUCGGAUUCAUUGGGCGUAAAGGGUGCGUAGGCGGCGCGGUAAGUCGGGUGUGAAAUCUCGGAGCUUAACUCCGAAACUGCAUUCGAUACUGCCGUGCUUGAGGACUGGAGAGGAGACUGGAAUUUACGGUGUAGCGGUGAAAUGCGUAGAUAUCUGGAGGAACACCGGUGGCGAAGGCGGCGUCCUGGACCAACACUGACACUGAUGAGCGAAAGCCAGGGGAGCAAACGGG
rnacentral:rRNA from 1 species